GCAAAUGUCCAUAGCUUUGUGGUAGAGCAUCUUCCUUGUGUGCAGAAGGUCCCAAGUUCAAUCCCUGACAUUUCCA